AUUGAACGCUGGCGGCAGGCCUAACACAUGCAAGUCGAACGAGUGGCGGACGGGUGAGUAAUGUCUGGGAAACUGCCCGAUGGAGGGGGAUAACUACUGGAAACGGUAGCUACUACCGCAUACCAUCGGAUGUGCCCAGAUGGGAUUAGCUAGUAGGUGGGGUAACGGCUCACCUAGGCGACGAUCCCUAGCUGGUCUGAGAGGAUGACCAGCCACACUGGAACUGAGACACGGGCCAGACUCCUACGGGAGGCAGCAGUGGGGAAUAUGGCACAAUGGGCGCAAGCCUGAUGCAGCCAUGCCGCGUGUAUGAAGAAGGCUGUCGGGUUGUAAAGUACUUUCAGCGGGGAGGCGUUACUAACAGAAGAAGCACCGGCUAACUCCGUGCCAGCAGCCGCGGUAAUUC
rnacentral:rRNA from 1 species